AUGAGUGAUGUGAUUACAUUGUACCAGACAUGCGACUGCAGCAGCUUAGUGUAUGAGUAUGUGCCCUGCAACAGCAAUUAUCUAGUUACUUUAACAGGACUAGCUACUUUUGAACAAUCAGGUAGUUCACACUUCACAGUAUGCAGUUCUACUUAUAUUGAGCUUCUUCAUUUCCUAGAUGCAACAGGUUGUCCAUGUUGUGUGUUUCAAUUCUUUGAUUCACCUGUAUUUUCAUUUCAGCAGGUUGUCCAUGUUGUGUGUUCCAUAUGGAUUAGACGCCGUCGACUACUUUGUCUUGAAUGCCGUGGCUCCUCGUUGGGUCUUUAG
rnacentral:rRNA from 1 species